rnacentral:rRNA from 1 species
UUCGCAAUGCCCGAAAGGGUGACGAAGCGACGCCGCGUGGGUGAGGAAGGCCCUCGGGUUGUAAAGCCCUGUCAGGAGUUAAGAAAUGUAAGUGCGCUAAUAUCGCAUUUAUUUGACGAAGGCUCCAAAGGAAGUCACGGCUAACUCUGUGCCAGCAGCCGCGGUAAUACAGAGGUGGCAAGCGUUGUUCGGAAUUAUUGGGCGUAAAGAGCACGUAGGUGGGUUUGUAAGUCAGAUGUGAAAGCCUUCUGUUCAACGGAAGAAUUGCAUCUGAAACUGCGAGUCUUGAGUGUAGGAGGGGAGAAUGGAACUUCUGGUGGAGCGGUGAAAUGCGUAGAUAUCAGAAGGAACGCCGGCGGCGAAAGCGAUUCUCUGGCCUAUUACUGACACUCAGUGUGCGAAAGCUAGGGGAGCAAACGGGAUUAGAUACCCCGGUAGUCCUAGCCGUAAACGAUGGGCACUAAGUAGAGGGGUUUU